rnacentral:rRNA from 1 species
UACGGGGGGGGCAAGCGUUGUUCGGAAUUACUGGGCGUAAAGGGCUCGUAGGUGGCCAACUAAGUCAGACGUGAAAUCCCCGGGCUCAACCCGGGAACUGCGUCCGAUACUGGCAGGCUUGAAUCCGGGAGAGGGAUGUGGAAUUCCAGGUGUAGCGGUGAAAUGCGUAGAUAUCUGGAGGAACACCGGUGGCGAAGGCGGCAUCCUGGACCGGUAUUGACGCUGAUGCGCGAAAGCCAGGGGAGCAAACGGG